UGCGAAGGGGGCGAGCGUUGUUCGGAUUUACUGGGCGUAAAGGGCGCGCAGGCGGCUUUGUUUGUCAGGCGUGAAAGCCCCGGGCUUAACCUGGGAACUGCGUUUGAUACGGCAGGGCUAGAGUUCGGGAGAGGAGAGUGGAAUUCCCAGUGUAGAGGUGAAAUUCGUAGAUAUUGGGAAGAACACCGGUGGCGAAGGCGGCUCUCUGGACCGAUACUGACGCUGAGGCGCGAAAGCGUGGGGAGCAAACAGG
rnacentral:rRNA from 1 species